GAUGAACGCUGGCGGCGUGCCUAAUACAUGCAAGUCGAACGCAGUGGGGACGGGUGAGUAACACGUUGGUAACCUCCCAUCAGAGGGGAUAACACUUGGAAACAGGUGCUAAACCGAUACUGAUGGAUGGACCCGCGGUGCAUUAGCUAGUGGGUGAGGUAACGGCUCACCAAGGCCACGAUGCAUAGCCGGCCGGAGAGGGUGAUCGGCCAAACUGGAACGGAGACACGGCCCAGACUCCUACGGGAGGCAGCAGUGGGGAAUAUUGGGCAAGGGGCGAAAGUCUGAUCGAGCAACGCCGCGUGAGUGAAGAAGGUUUUCGGAUCGUAAAGCACUGUUGUUAGGGAAGCGGUAUCUAACCAGAAAGCAACGGCUAACUACGUGCCAGCAGCCGCGGUAAUAC
rnacentral:rRNA from 1 species